rnacentral:rRNA from 1 species
CACGGCGCACGGGUGCGUAACACGUGGGUAAUCUGCCCUUCGAUGGGGAAUAACUCCGGGAAACCGAAGCUAAUUCCGCAUAACAUUCCUCGAACUUCGGUUUGGGGACUCAAAGCCGUAAGGCGUCGGAGGAGGAACCCGCGCACGAUUAGCUAGUUGGUAGGGUAACGGCCUACCAAGGCUUUGAUCGUUAGCUGGUCUGAGAGGAUGGCCAGCCACACUGGAACUGAGACACGGUCCAGACUCCUACGGGAGGCAGCAGUGGGGAAUCUUGCACAAUGGGCGAAAGCCUGAUGCAGCGACGCCGCGUGGGGGAUGAAGCUUUUCGGAGUGUAAACCCCUUUCGACCCGGACGAAUGCCCCGCAAGGGGACUGACGGUACGGGUAUAAGAAGCCCCGGCUAAUUACGUGCCAGCAGCCGCGGUAAGACGUGGGGGGCCAGCGUUGCUCGGAAUUACUGGGUGUAAAGGGUUCGUAGGCGGUGUAGCAAGUCGGGAGUGAAAUCUCUGGGCUCAACCCAGAGACUGCUUCCGA